rnacentral:rRNA from 1 species
GAUGAACGCUGGCGGCGUGCCUAAUACAUGCAAGUCGAGCGAACGGACGAGAAGCUUGCUUCUCUGAUGUUAGCGGCGGACGGGUGAGUAACACGUGGAUAACCUACCUAUAAGACUGGGAUAACUUCGGGAAACCGGAGCUAAUACCGGAUAAUAUUUUGAACCGCAUGGUUCAAAAGUGAAAGACGGUCUUGCUGUCACUUAUAGAUGGAUCCGCGCUGCAUUAGCUAGUUGGUAAGGUAACGGCUUACCAAGGCAACGAUGCAUAGCCGACCUGAGAGGGUGAUCGGCCACACUGGAACUGAGACACGGUCCAGACUCCUAAGGGAGGCAGCAGUAGGGAAUCUUCCGCAAAGGGCGAAAGCCUUACGGAGCAACGCCGCGUGAGUGAUGAAGGUCUUCGGAUCGUAAAACUCUGUUAUUAGGGAAGAACAUAUGUGUAAGUAACUGUGCACAUCUUGACGGUACCUAAUCAGAAAGCCACGGCUAACUACGUG